GUGCUGACAGCUGGGAGCCUGACACCUGUUUCAGAUUAUGUGUUGUCUUCUCUCUCUGUUUGUCCCCUGCUCACGCUCUGUCUCUCUCUCUCUCUCAAAAAUAAAUAAAGAUUAAAAUAAUGGCUUUAUUGAGUUAUUAUGCACAUACCAUAACAUUUAUCCUCUUAAAGUGUACAAGUGGUUUUAGUAUAGUCACAGAGUUCUGUAACCACCACCACUAUCUAAUUCUAGAACAUUUCCAUCACUCCAGAAGGAAACAUGUACCCAUUAAUAGUCCUUCCCAUCUCCCCACACCCCUCCCCUGGCGACCACCGAUCUGCUUCAUCUCUCUGUGGUCUAGAUACUUUCUUUUUUCUUACCUAACUGCUGAUCUGCUACUUUUGAGGGCAGCUCUUACAGGUACAAAUAUUCUUUCAUUUUUAAGCAAUUGAAAUAUUUUAUAAACAUCUAAAAAUUUGAAGACGAGAAGCUAAGAUUUAUAUUUUUGUUUGUACAUUCAAGGACUCCAGACCAUGAAAAAUUACAUUGACCUGAAAAAGGAAAGAAAGCUACGAAUGGAUAAAACUUGAACAUUUUCCAGCGUGCCAGGGACCAAAACAUCAAUUUAACCUCUUCACCAAAAAUUUCAGCUUUGUUUUUAGAGACUUUCUCUAUUGGAAAAGUGGAAGGUAGCAGAAAUAGAAUUGGCAGGAUUCACUUUACCAAUGGCUUUUCCAUGAAGUGGGAAGACACCUUUUUAUUUUACUCUCAAUGUCAUAAUGAAGGCAACGCAUUUUAUAAACUGUUGACAACAAUUCUAGAUAAACUCAGAAUGCUGUCAGAUCGGAGGCCCUAAUUACCGAGUGCAGAAAAAUCUGCAGUAAGAAAAAGAGAUUAAAUUAGAGAAGACCUCAAUGUAACUGUAAAUUUCUCUUGGACACCAUGAAAAUUGAGCCAUUAAAAAGAAUACAUUUAACCAAA